rnacentral:misc_RNA from 1 species
CCGCUUCCUCGCCUUCUCCUUCUCUGUAAGAGCCGCAUCCGCUUCAAUCUCCCUUAUAGCAGCCACCAAUUCACUUCCACUUCCGGCGACAGCCGUUGCAGAGGCAGCAGGUUCACCAGAACAGUCAGGACACUCCCACUGGAGAGUGGAUGCUAGGGUUUCCGGCGGGGAAGAAAGGCAAACUACGUGCCAAGGAGUAACGCAAGUGAUACAAGUGAGGGUUUCUUGGGUAGUCGGCACUGACUUGCAGCGCAUGCAGAUGCCGUCUCCGUCGCACGGGAGCGAGAUAUCGUGCGCCAUAGAGUGUGCACAGGAUAAGCACAACACAAGACAGAGGGAAGAAACAGAGGCACAGAGAGAUGAAUAGACAGUUUUG